UACGUAGGUGGCGAGCGUUAUCCGGAAUUACUGGGCGUAAAGGGCGCGUAGGUGGCCAAGUAAGUCCGACGUGAAAUCCCAAGGCUUAACCUUGGAACUGCGUCGGAUACUGGAUGGCUUGAAUUCGGGAGAGGGAUGCAGAAUUCCAGGUGUAGCGGUGAAAUGCGUAGAUAUCUGGAGGAAUACCGGUGGCGAAGGCGGCAUCCUGGACCGACAUUGACGCUGAACGACGAAAGCUAGGGGAGCAAACGGG
rnacentral:rRNA from 1 species